rnacentral:misc_RNA from 1 species
UGGUUCUGGCAUCGAUGAAGAACGCAGCGAAAUGCGAUAAGUAAUGCGAAUUGCAGAAUUUCAGUGAGUCAUCGAAUCUUUGAACGCACAUUGCGCCCUUUGGUAUUCCGAAGGGCAUGCCUGUUCGAGCGUCAUUAACACCCCUCAAGCCUGGCUUGUUGUUGGGUCAUGCCUAAACUUUACAGUCAAGGCUGCCCCCAAACGUAAUGACGGCGUCCAUGGGGACUCUCGGUACAACGAGCUUUUUACAAGGCACGUAUCGCAGAAGACUUGUGGCACGGUCGAUACCUUUUUUUCUUCAAGGUUGACCUCGGAUCAGGUAGGAAUACCCGCUGA